rnacentral:rRNA from 1 species
AACGAACGCUGGCGGCAGGCUUAACACAUGCAAGUCGAACGCGUGUAGCAAUACACGAGUGGCGCACGGGUGAGUAACGCGUGGAUAUCUGCCUUUUGGUUCGGAAUAACACCGGGAAACUGGGGCUAAUACCGGAUGGUUCCUUCGGGAUAAAGAUUUAUCGCCAAAAGAUGAGUCCGCGUCCGAUUAGCUAGCUGGUGAGGUAAUGGCUCACCAAGGCGACGAUCGGUAGCUGGUCUGAGAGGACGAUCAGCCACACUGGGACUGAGACACGGCCCAGACUCCUACGGGAGGCAGCAGUGGGGAAUAUUGGACAAUGGGGGCAACCCUGAUCCAGCCAUGCCGCGUGAGUGAUGAAGGCCGUCGGGUUGUAAAGCUCUUUUGGCGGGGACGAUGAUGACGGUACCCGCAGAAUAAGCCCCGGCUAACUUCGUGCCAGCAGCCGCGGUAA